rnacentral:RNase_P_RNA from 1 species
UGAGUUUGUCAGACGAUCGCAGCUGCAAGGGCCGAAAGGUGGCAGAUGAGGAAAGUCCGGGCUCCCCAGGGCAGGAUGCUGGAUAAUGUCCAGUGAAGGCGACUUUAAGGAAAGUGCCGCAGAAACAUACCGCCGAUGGAGCUUUGCUCACAGGCAAGGGUGAAAUGGUGAGGUAAGAGCUCACCAGCAGCCGGGUGACCGGUUGGCUGGGUAAACCCCAUCCGGAGCAAGACCGAAUAGAGGAGCAAUGAGACGGCCCGUCUCGCUCCCGGGUUAGGUCGCUCGAGAUAUAGGGUAACCUAUAUCCUAGAUAGAUGAUCGUCACUCCUUACGGAGAACAGAACCCGGCUUAUCGACAAACUCAAUUU